AACGAACGCUGGCGGCGUGCCUAACACAUGCAAGUCGAACGAGAAGUACGUAGCAAUACGUAUUGUAAAGUGGCGAACGGGUGAGUAACACGUGUGUAACCUGCCCUCGAGCUUGGGAUAACCCCGCGAAAGCGGGGCUAAUACCGGAUAAGACCACGGGGACGAAAGUCCUUGCGGUAAAAGAUGGACUAUAUUUAUAAGCUGUCACUUGAGGAUGGGCCCGGGGCCCAUUAGCUAGUUGGUGGGGUAACGGCUCACCAAGGCGAUGAUGGGUAGCUGGUCUGAGAGGACGAUCAGCCACGCUGGAACUGAGACACGGUCCAGACUCCUACGGGAGGCAGCAGUGGGGAAUAUUGCGCAAUGGGCGAAAGCCUGACGCAGCAACGCCGCGUGGGGGAUGAAGGUUCUCGGAUUGUAAACCCCUUUCGACCGGAACGAAUCCCCUCCUGGUGAACAAUCAGGAGGGUCGACGGUACCGGGAGAAGAAGCCACGGCUAACUCUGUGCCAGCCGCCGCCGUAACAC
rnacentral:rRNA from 1 species